GAAGGCACAUAAGGAUUGCAAAGUCAGCGAAAAGACAACACCUUCCAUCUUACACAUUGAACAGUACAGUAAAAGCGCCCUUUUAAGUUUUAACAAUAGAGUCAAGUAGCUUUAUUUCAAAGGACAGGUCCGAACAGAAUCAAAAAAAUGAACCCAUGCACUAAACAGUACUGAAAACACACCCUUUUAACUUUCCAGACUCCAAUAGUAGGGAAGUAGCAAAAGAGAAGGGCAAAACAAAUCAUAAACAGGAAGCUAACAGAAAAAGUUUUCAUGCCAGAAAAAUAAUGCAGCUACUACAGUGUCCUAGUUGGAUCUUUCCCUCUCUAAACAACAACGUAACCUCCUAUAAGCAGGGAAAUUUAAGGUUAAUUCAGACUGCUUCCCCUGCUUUAUUGAACCGCAAUAUUAUUAGUAGUUAAGCAUGUUUUGGGUGCGUUAAUUAACUACUAAGGGUGUGUUUGGUUUGUAGUAGUUGGAAUCCCAAGCAGUUCCAACUACAUCAAAACUCCCAAAACAAGUUUUUCCUUUAAAAACAUAACUCCAAAAGGGUGUUGUAACAAAAAAGUCCCAAAAACAGGGGAGUUAUAACUGUGCCCAAUUUGGUGUGCUGAAACAGCAGAAGCUAAAGCGUCCUGUGGUUCUGGAACAGAAAAAGCGUGUUCCAGCUUCAAGAAUUUUCUGCUUUUGGAUACAGUCACCUCCGAAGCCGAAGAUGGAAACAAAUAGCAACCCGCCAAUAGAGACCAUGCAACCAAAGAUGUGGAAAUUGUAGAUGGUAGCAAUCAAGAAGGAAAGAGUAAAACUUUCAAGUGGCCUCCACAUGUUAGCAGGUUUUUUUUAAUCAACUUCUUGGCUGAUUUAGUGAGAAAUAAUGGGAAGAUAGGCAAAGAUUUGAAGCCUCAAGUAUUCAAUGCAGUUCUUCGAGAGCUUAAUACGAAAUAUCAUGCAUGUAACAUAACUGAAGAUACAAAGACGAUCAUUGUUGGACAAGAAGAAUUUGAAGGUACACAUAAGCCAUGACAUUUAUCUGAACAAACGAAUUGAGCAAACCAAUUGAGCAGUAUGAAGAGUUGUGUUUAAUUGCGGGAGGAGACCACGCUACUGGAGCUUGGAUGAAACAUUGUUCACAACCUUUAGGAAAGGCACUCAAUAAAAGUUUCGCACAAUUCUCGCCUGUUAAUGUUGAGGCUAUUUUAGAAGAUGCAGAGUUUAUGGAGGGAUUCUCCUAACCCCUCUAAAAGUACUCCAACGGGAUCAUCAAGUCAGCAUGCUUCUCAUAAAGAAAAAAAGAAGAGGAAACGAAAGGAAUGAGUUCCUUAUGAAUGCAUGGACAAGCUGACUAUACGCAGUUGGUAGCAUUGUAAUGUCAAUGACUGAAGAUGUAAUCUUGAGUUUCACAAAUAAACUCUAUGAUACAAUCAUGUCAUUGUCGAGAUACGAUAAUAGUAUAAAGUCAUCAGCAUAUGAAUAUUUUUGCAAGCUGGUCAUGAGUAUAAAGCUCGUGGAUUUUUGAGUCGUAGUGUUGAGAUGCGCCAUCAAUGGAUGGAUGAGUUCUUCUCCAGAAAUUCUACCUAGAGGGAUAUUUGGUGCAAUGGGUGGUUUUGGUAAUAGCAACUUUAGCGGCACAAACAUACGUCGUGAAGAUCCCUGGCAUGGGAGCAAUACAUGGAGAAACAGAUGACGUAACAGGGCAUCAAGAAGAGUGUCGCUAAGUGAGGACAUGAAUAUAGUGGUAACAAGUAACAACAAUGAAACUGAUGAAUUCAGUCUUUAUGAUGACUAAAUAAUCUUGUAAUAUGCUCAAAUAAUUAGGGUUCUAUUUGCACAUCAAAUAUAUAAUCUAGUAACAAUGAAAAUAGUCGCAACCCAAUAGUACUAUGGGUUCUAUUUGCACUUUUUUGGUUGCUUCUAUUUUGGUAUUAUGAAGUCCAUGGAGAGGAGACCCUUAUUAUUAAUGUAUGGCUUUGUGCUUUAAUUAUAUAUUUGAUGUGUUAUGGAGAACAAGACUAAGGCAUUCCUAUCAAUGAUGUUAUUUUGUUCUUAUCAAAGGAAUUCAAGCCCUUGGUUGUAUUUCAUUGGGAGCUCUAUAUACAUAUGGAUGAAGCAAGGAGUAUUUUAAUAGUAGGUGCAUUAUUAAAAAGAUUCAGGGUUUUCCCGAUUGCAUUUUGAUAGUUAUUAGCUGUAAAAUAAUUAAAUAUAUAAGGCUACUAUUAUAGCUCUUCAACAGUUAUGUUAUAAAUUGGAGGAUGUAAGUUUAUGGUAUGAUGAUUUCAAUUGUUGUUGCAACACCAAAAAUUCAACCAAACAACUAAUGAACUAGUUGUUUGUAGCUUUAGCUUUACAAUUACAUGCACCCAAACAUUGGUUUUAUAACACAUGUAAUUGAAAAUACAUUUCAACCAAACACUACUCCACAUGUAUUUGGAACAUGUUAUUGCAACGACAUUUGCAAUUCCAACUAACGUAAACCAAACACACUCAAUCAUUUAACCUUACUGUAAAAGAGCCCUAUUAACUUUCCUGUUUCCAAAUAGUAUGGAAGUAACAAAAGGAAAGGGCAAAACAAAUCAUAAACGGGGAGUUAACAGAUAAGAAGGGCAUCAACUACAGUCUCCCAGUUGGAUCUUUCCCUCUCUAAACAACGCGGUAACCUACUAUAAGUGGGUAAUUUAAGGAUAAUUCAGACAAUGUUUCGCCCGCUUUAUUGAACCUCAGCAUUAUCAGCAGUAAGCAUGCUUCAGGUGUGUUAAUUAACUAUUAAAUAUGAGUCUUGAAACCAUGUAUAAACAAAAUCAGUUAAGCAAGCUUCAGGUGUAUUAAUUAACUACUAAAUAUGAGUCUUUGAAACGACGUGCAAACAAAAUUAGACUACCAAAAUAGCUUUUUCAUCAAGCAAAAAUAUAGCUAUAGUUAUAUCCAGAAGAUGAUUUUUAUUGGCAGUGUCGAUGAUAGACUUGGCACCACAAAUUUCUUCAAGAAAAGUUCUCAUAGGGCCAUUCUUAUUACUAUGCAUCUUGCAUUUUGAUUUUGAGAAAACCGAUAACACAC